UGGGGUGGGUCCGUGGAGGGAGGAUGGGCACUCCAGACAGGGGUCAUGGCCCACGGGGAGGUACGGAGGCCGCUGGCACUUCCUGGCAGCUUUUACCUAGUGAGCCUCUAGAAUUUUGGGGAAAUCUGCAACUGGUUAGAAAUAUGCUUGAAACCAAGCACAGAGAAGAGAAGGUUUUCAGCUCAAGAGUAAUGUUGAGGGAUUUCCCUGGUGGUCCAGUGGCUAAGACACUGCACUCCCAGUGCAGGGGACCCAGGUUCGAUCUCUGGUCACGGAGCUAGAUCCCAUGUACCGCAACUAAGAGUUUGUAUGCCACAGCUCAAGAUCCCACGUGCCGAGAUGUAUAUAAAAGAUUCUGCAUGCUGCAACUAAGACCCAGCACAGCCAAAUAAAUAAUAAAUAUUGUUUUUUGUAAAAGCAAUGUCAGGAACACAGAAGAGCACAGGGGCAUGUACAUGUAGGCUUGAGGGCCCACUGAAGCUCAACCAGAGGCCACCCUUCUUUCUGCUUCCCCCAAACUCUCCGCAUGGGUGCUUUGACCGUGAAUUGUGUGAUUAUCUGCUGUGGGACACAGCAGUCCCUCGGAAGAGGGAGAAACCCCUGUCUUACUGUAGCUCAGUGUUCAGUCAUGUGCCUAGUGGUUGUGGGCCUGGGUUGGGGGUGACGAAGAUGACCUGUUAUUAGAUCUUGGCACUGACUGUAGCUCCCUUGUGUGCCUUGGGGAGACACUUCGUUGUGAAGCCUCAACAAACUUACUGUAAAAUGAGGAUCAUAGCACUUGUCUAUGGGUGGGCAGAGUCAAUGUGAAAUAUAGCAGCUGCCCAAUAAAUGACCCUUUUUUUCUCCUUUCCCAUGGCCACUUGCUGAGGAUAAAAGGAUAUUACCAUAGCCACCAGGUGUAUUUCAGAAUGUCUGUCUUAACCCUUUCCUACUCCCCAGUGCUACCUCCACCCGCCAUGGCUACCACACCAAACCAGGAAAGGCUGCUUGACACUGGAGUGUUUGCCGAAACCACCCCUGGUACCUGCCUUUAUUCCACGGACCACCUGUUGGCUGCCUGCAGGAACUGCCCUCCUGGAAGCCAGAAUGAGAAGGAGUGCAAAAGAGCAAGAGAGGGUCAUCCUCAGGUUGGCUACUCUCAUGACAGCAAAAGGACUGCAGCAGUUCCAGACCUCACCUCUACACUCGGUGCCAUCUGGAGCCAGAGAGGGACUGUAUCCACGAGUUCCCAGCAGGAUUCCCUGUGGACUAAGAUCAUCUGUUGUUCAGUUGCUAAGUCAUGUCCAACUCUGUGACCCCAUGGGCUGCAGCACACCAGGCUUCCCUGUCCUUCACUGUCUCCUGGAGUUUGCUCAAAUUCAUGUCCAUUGAGUCAGUGAUGCUAUCUAACCAUCUCAUCCUCUGCCACCCUCUUCUCCUUUUGCCUUUAAUCUUGGCCAGCAUCGGGGUCUUUUCCAAUGAGUCAGCUCUUCGCGUUUGAUUCGGUUCUUCACAAAGAUCAUCUGAUCACUUGUGAACUGGCCAUUAGUGGGAGGGGUUAUUUAUUGGCUUAGCUUAGAUCAUGUGCCCUACCAUUAGAACAAGUGCAGGAGGGAGUAGAAUCAGCUUUCCUGAAAUCAUGUGGAACCCCAGUGGAAACUGAGAUUUUUGAGAAGGCAAAAGCAGUCUAGGUCCUGGAGAGGUAACAAACAGUCAUCUGACUCAGUUGCUGAGUUGUGUGGAAUAGACAUAGGCUGCAAGAGUUAAGGGAAGGCAGUGAGCGAGGGCUGCAGCAGCCGGAGAAGGGAAGCUUCACGGAGGAGGAGAAGAGCCUGAACUAAGACCUGAGAUGAACGAUUUAGGCAAUGGAGAGUUGUGGGCUGGGGGGCAGUGAAGAGGAGGGAAGGACCUCUUAUGAAGAUGUCAUGAGCGUUUCCAUGUGCCAGACGGCAUGCUAACCCCUCUUUAGGCAUUUUCUCAAUUAAUCACCACAACAACCUGCAAGUUUAGUAUCUUCAUUGUCUCCAUUUUACAGGUGACAAUCUGAAACCCAGAGGACACAUGGUAAUUGUUGACGUUGGGCCUUGGACCCAGCCUUUCUGGCUCUGGAGCCACGAUGCUAGUGAGUGAAGAGGGCCGAGGCCACCUGAGGCGUGUGUGCACUAGUGGAGUGGCCUGACCUCAGAGAUCAUCACAGAGGGAGUUAAGAGUGUGAAGCGAGGCUCCAGAGUUUCCUCUCCCAGCCUGUGUUCAUGCUGUCUUCUCCACCUGGAAUUCCUUCUCCCCAUCCCUCUCUAAACCCUACUCCUUCACGGCCUGAGCUCCAUAUUACAUUGUAACACCUAGCCCGUGUGAACUGCAUGAGACUGUUCUCACUAGACUUCUGUGAGCUCCUCGCAAAAACUGCACUUCACCUUUGUAUUUGGGGGCUUGACACAGUGAACUGCCCUUUAUGGUUGCCAUGGUGACCUCCUCUUCUGAGGACUGGAGGGAUAUCAAAGACACAGAUUGUUAGAGCCCUCAGCUUUACCUUAUCUAAUCCUCUCGCUUUAUAGGAAAAGAAAUAGGCCAGAGAGGUUGGGACUUUCCCAAGGAACCAGUUGAGUCUAGAACUCAGGAUCCUGGGAUUCGAAAACGAUAUGGCUUGAAGAGCAUUAUUAGCUCUGGAACCAGAUUGAACUCAGAUCCCAGUUUCUCUGUGCCAGGCGGUGUGACUUGGGCAAGUCACUUACCCUCUCUGAGCUUCAUUUCCCUCAGCUGUAUAGUGGGGUUAUAAUGGAGCCUCCUCCCAGGGCUGUUGUGAGAAAUAGUUCUUUUGAGUUUCCAGCACAGAACCUGGCACAUGAUGAUUCUGCAGGAAAUGCAGACUUUCGUCAUCCAAGUUAUGGGCACCAGCCCCUCCCAGCAGGGCCUUCAGAAUCCUCCUGUCCUCUUCCACAUCCCAGUCCAUACAUCUUCCCUUCAGAACAGCUGAGAGACCAAAAGGAAGUCGCUGUGAUGACUUUGGGGUGGGGGUGGGCCAGAGUCCCCUCCUUUGAGAUACUGGCUUGGGCUCAUAUGACUCCUUUGUAGGUCAGAGCCCCACCCGUUGCUGCCCCACUGGCUUGAGGCCACCAAGGCCGGGCCCUGAGACUCCCUGCUUCUGCCUCAGGCUGGCACAGGUGUGGAGCUGCAGUGUGGUCUCUCACAUGCUCUGUGCCAGACCAAGAAGGCAGCAGGAAUAACAGACAGCCCUGGGCAGACACCCAGAAUGCAAGGUCCUUUGUCUCUGGGGUGGAGGUGCUCCCAGGGCUGGAUGGCACAAUCACACAACUGGGCUCCCCCCCAUCCAAAAGAUAUACUAAGUCAUCCCCUUUUGAGAGCCGCCACCCAACCCCUGCUCCUGAUCAUAUGAGCCCCUGACUCCGCAUCUUCUGUGUCUCCCUGGCUGGGGGAUGGUGGACAAGUCACUUUAGUCCUGUGUGUUUCGGCUUCCUCCUCUGUACUAUGGGGACAGUGAUGCCUUCUUCAGAAUUAAACAGAAUCCCAUAUGUGAGAGUGUCCUAUGCUAGGUCUUCACACAGUAGGUGCUCAAUAUAUGUUUCUCCCCUCCUUGCUCAGCUGUGCCAUUGUCUGGGCAGCGGGGAUCAGAACCAAGGCAUGAUGCCUUUGAAAGUUCACCAAGCUCUGAGCACAGCUGUCUGAAAUCAUACCUUCUGUUCCCACUGGAUGGACUCCCAACACCUGGGCUUGGUCCUGGUUCUGCCCCUUACUAGGCAGCUUUUAUUAAUAUGUAUCAUUCACAUUCUGUGAGCCUCGGUUUCCUCAUCUGCAAAAUAAACACAUUUAUUGAUUCAGUAUAUUUACUCUUUGUACUGGGCUCUGGGCACCAAGAAACAAAUGAGAUUGCUUGCCUUCAAGGACCUCCCAGUCUAGUAGAGGAGACAGAUGUAAAAUCAGAGACAUGUGGAGGGAGCAGUAAGAGCACAGCAGGGGGUGACCAGCUUAGCCUAGGUGGAUCAGGGAAGACCUCAGAGGAAGGGACAUCUGAGCCACACCUUGAAAGAUGAGUGCAAAUUUGCCAGGCAGCGUGGGGGACAGAUUUUGUGUCAAAUGUGUUUUAUUAACUGGGCUGCCUGGCCCUGCUAGCUCCUACCUCAGCCCACCUUGCUCACAGAGGAAACAAAGAAAUGCACUAGAAACUCAUCUCCAGGCCAAGAGCUCCUAGAACAAGGGGCAAGGGAGGUGUACCCACCUGCAGGGCAAAAUCUAGACUCACCAUCCCGCCACACAGAGGCCCAUUCACCUUCAUAUCCCCCUUGUAUUUUACACUCUGGCACAACAGAACCUCUUAAAGGUUCCUGAGAUCAACAUCAACCUGUCUGUCCUCCUUGAGUCCCCUCCCUCUCCACAUCCACCUGGCAACCUCCAGUUCAUCUCCUGGAAACGUGAUUGGGCCCAUAAGCCACCUGGACACCUUUUUAUUUAUAAAUACAUGGACUCAACCUAUGUUGAGGAGUGACUGAGGAUCCUUCAAAGACAAAAUGUAUGUUUACCCAGUGUCCAGCAUAGGAUUGACCCAGGGCUGCAUUUCUGGGUGGAUGGUUCAAAGUCCACUUCUUCGGCCAACAUUGGGCUUCUGCCUCUGGCCUGCUGGCACUGAGCAAGGCAUAGAGGAUGCAAGAAGCACAGGGUACCGUCUAGGGAGAAACACACGUUAACAGGUAAUUAUAGCAUUGGGUGAUAUGGUGGGAAAACAAGUGAGAGCAAUUAUAGGUUUCCCCUGAUAUCUGAAAUCGGGGUUUUCCACUGCAACCUUUCAUAAGCCAAAAUGGCAUAAGGCAAAGAAGCAGUUAUCUCAGGACACAAGAACGCACAAGAUAGAGCACAGAUGCUCACAGACACAGGUGAAAGCUAUGGCAGCUUGAUGCUGAGACGCUGAGUGGGGUUCCCGGGGAAGGAGCUUCUCCGUGCCACUCUCUGCUCUGCUCUGGAUGCACACUACCUCUACAGCUGGCUGCAGAACAAACGCUCAAACGCUGAAUGUUGUUUUUGCUUUUUGCCUUGUUUUGUAAAAGUGAAAAUCCCCUUCGGAUUCCUCUUGGUUAGCAAAAACAGGUUUAAUCAAGUUCUAAUCAGGCCGGCAAGGAGGAUACUGUCCAGCUGGAAGGCCAUCCCCAGAACCCAGAGUCCAGUGGAGACAGUGCUCCAGGCCUUGCUGUAUCCAAGC